rnacentral:rRNA from 1 species
GUAAACGGCGGCCGUAACUAUAACGGUCCUAAGGUAGCGAAAUUCCUUGUCGGGUAAGUUCCGACCUGCACGAAUGGCGUAAUGAUGGCCAGGCUGUCUCCACCCGAGACUCAGUGAAAUUGAACUCGCUGUGAAGAUGCAGUGUACCCGCGGCAAGACGGAAAGACCCCGUGAACCUUUACUAUAGCUUGACACUGAACACUGGUCCUUGAUGUGUAGGAUAGGUGGGAGGCUUUGAAGUGCGGACGCCAGUCUGCAUGGAGCCGCCCUUGAAAUACCACCCUUUAAUGGCUGGUGUUCUAACGUGGGCCCGUGAUCCGGGUUGCGGACAGUGUCUGGUGGGUAGUUUGACUGGGGCGGUCUCCUCCUAAAGAGUAACGGAGGAGCACGAAGGUCAGCUAAUCCUGGUCGGACAUCAGGAGGUUAGUGCAAUGGCAUAAGCUGGCUUGACUGCGAGCGUGACGGCGCGAGCAGGUGCGAAAGCAGGUCAUAGUGAUCCGGUGGUUCUGAAUGGAAGGGCCAUCGCUCAACGGAUAAAAGGUACUCCGGGGAUAACAGGCUGAUACCGCCCAAGAGUUCAUAUCGACGGCGGUGUUUGGCACCUCGAUGUCGGCUCAUCACAUCCUGGGGCUGAAGUAGGUCCCAAGGGUAUGGCUGUUCGCCAUUUAAAGUGGUACGCGAGCUGGGUUUAGAACGUCGUGAGACAGUUCGGUCCCUAUCUGCCGUGGGCGUUGGAGAACUGAGGGGGGCUGCUCCUAGUACGAGAGGACCGGAGUGGACGCAUCACUGGUGUUCGGGUUGUCAUGCCAAUGGCACUGCCCGGUAGCUAAAUGCGGAAGAGAUAAGUGCUGAAAGCAUCUAAGCACGAAACUUGCCCCGAGAUGAGUUCUCCCUGACUCCUUGAGAGUCCUGAAGGAACGUUGAAGACGACGACGUUGAUAGGCCGGGUGUGUAAGCGCAGCGAUGCGUUGAGCUAACCGGUACUAAUGAACCGUGAGGCUUAACCUU